rnacentral:ncRNA from 1 species
CCACCGAAAAGGUGAAAUCCGGGCAACCGGAUGGCACAAAGCCACCUGCCCGUUUUCCGGGUGGAGGGGCUGCCGAA